rnacentral:rRNA from 1 species
UCCAGACUCCUAUGGGAGGCAGCAGUGAGGAAUAUUGGUCAAUGGGCGAGAGCCUGAACCAGCCAAGUCGCGUGAGGGAAGACGGUCCUAUGGAUUGUAAACCUCUUUUGUCGGGGAGCAAAGCGAGUCACGUGUGACUCAUUGAGAGUACCCGGAGAAAAAGCAUCGGCUAACUCCGUGCCAGCAGCCGCGGUAAUACGGAGGAUGCGAGCGUUAUCCGGAUUUAUUGGGUUUAAAGGGUGCGUAGGCGGGCAUUUAAGCCGGCGGUCAAAUGUCGGGGCUCAACCCCGGCCUGCCGUCGGAACUGGGUGCCUUGAGUGGGCGAGAAGUAUGCGGAAUGCGUGGUGUAGCGGUGAAAUGCAUAGAUAUCACGCAGAACCCCGAUUGCGAAGGCAGCAUACCGGCGCCCUACUGACGCUGAGGCACGAAAGUGCGGGUAUCGAACAGGAUUAGAUACCCCCGUAC